GAGACUCUGUGCGCGUGCAUAUCAAUAAGCGGAGGAAAAGAAACUAACAAGGAUUCCCUUAGUAACGGCGAGUGGAGCGGGAAGAGCUCAAAUUUGAAAUCUUCAAGGUUCUACCUUGACGAAUUGUAGUUUAUAGAAGUGUUUUCUGUUAGUGGAGUGGCAAAAGUUCUUUGGAAUAGGACAUCAUAGAGGGUGAGAAUCCCGUAUUUUGGUCAUUCCUCCUAGCGUUGUGAUACACUUUCAACGAGUCGGAUUGUUUGGGAAUGCAGUCCAAAAUGGGUGGUAAAUUUCAUCUAAAGCUAAAUAUUGGCGAGAGACCGAUAGCGAACAAGUACCGUGAGGGAAAGAUGAAAAGAACUUUGAAAAGAGAGUUAAACAGUACGUGAAAUUGUCAAAAGGGAAGCGUUUGACACCAGUGUUGUUUUUCCGAAAAUCAAUUACGAAUGUUUUGUUUUUAAGGAGUUAUGACUUCAUCGGCUUGCUCCUUUCUUUACGAAACUUUCUUAAUGCACUUUUCGGUUAACAAGUCAACAUCAAUUUCUUUUGUUGUAAAAGGGUAUGAGGAAGGUGGCUUUCUUUUCGGAGAAAGUGUUUAUAGCCUUGUGCCUCUACAAUCGGAGAGAUUGAGGUCUGCAGCGUAGAUCCUUCGGGGUUAGAUACGUUUGUGCUAAGUUAUAGCUUUUCAUAGACAACUUGUUGACUAUGUUUAGUCUUGUAGCUUACUCGCUUACUGCUAUUUUACCUACGCUUAGGAUGUUGAACUCUAUCACACACAG
rnacentral:rRNA from 1 species